rnacentral:ncRNA from 1 species
CAAAAGCUUGGUCCUGGCUUUACUGUCAUCUUUAGCCAAACUUACACAUGCAAGUCUCCGCACCCCCGUGAGAAUGCCCUCAGUCCCCUUAUCGGGGACAAGGAGCCGGUAUCAGGCACGCCCCAAUCUGCGCAGCCCAAGACACCUUGCUCAGCCACACCCCCAAGGGAGUUCAGCAGUGAUAGACAUUAAGCAAUAAGUGAAAACUUGACUUAGUUAAAGCUAACAGGGCCGGUCAACCUCGUGCCAGCCACCGCGGUUAUACGAGCGGGCCCAAGCUGACAGACAUCGGCGUAAAGCGUGGUUACGGAACAGCCCAACUAAAGUCAAACAUUCCCUAUGCUGUUAUACGCUUUUGGGGACCGGAUGCCCCACCACUAAAGUAACUUUAAAAGCCCUCCCGAACCCACCACAGCUACGAAACAAACUGGGAUUAGAUACCCCACUAUGCUUAGCCGUAAACUUUGAUGGUAAUAUACAACUACCAUCCGCCCGGGGACUACAAGCACUAGCUUUAAACCCAAAGGACUUGGCGGCACUUCAGACCCACCUAGAGGAGCCUGUUCUAGAACCGAUAUUCCCCGUUCAACCUCACCACCUCUGGCUAAUACCGCCUAUAUACCACCGUCGCCAGCUUACCCUGUGAAGGCCUCAUAGUAAGCAAAACGGGCACAGCCCCAAACGUCAGGUCGAGGUGUAGCGAAUGAGGCGGGAAGAAAUGGGCUACAUUCUCUUACCCUAGAGAACACGAACGGUAUAAUGAAACACGUACCCGAAGGCGGAUUUAGCAGUAAGAAGAAAAAACGAGUGUUCUUCUGAAGCCGGCUCUGAAGCGCGCACACACCGCCCGUCACUCUCCCCUAAAUCUACCUGCCACGUUAAUAAAAAUUUUUUGAUAAAAGGGGAGGCAAGUCGUAACAUGGUAAGUGUACCGGAAGGUGUACUUGGAUAAUC